UUAUCUUUGCAGCCGAUUGGUUCCGGAUAUGGCUCUUUCCGAGUCAUGGGAUUAAAAGGGAACCGGGUGGGAAUCCCGGACAGACCCGCUGCUGUGAAGCUCCUUCAAUCAUCCGAAAAAUCUGUACCACUGGUUUUUUACCGGGAAGGUUUCGGAUGAGGAGUCAGUCAGAAGACCUGCCAAUGUUUUAUGGAUUUA
rnacentral:ncRNA from 2 species